UUGUGUAUACACACACACACACAAACACAAUUUUCCAAGUCCCACAGGAGUCCCAGGUACAGGGUUGCAGUCCCUACUGUGAUAAAGAAUGAAUGGUUUGCAGAAACUGAGAGAUGCAAACAUCAGAGGGAGUGAUUGACAGGAGUAUGUGACUAAGGGUCACAUGGGAGCCUGAGGCUUGAGAUCUGGGAAAGAUUCUAUGCCCAACGGACUUCUUCAGAUCACUCUCCAGGAAGGACCUGAGGUUGAGGCUUAGAAAGGCUUUCUCCCAAGACCAAGAAGGAAAGAAAUCUUUUGGAUCUGGCUGCUGGCAACUUUGAAUCAAGAAGAUUGAAGAUAGACUAACCAACUAAAGAUCCUGGCCCAUUUGAUUGGACUCCAGGUUCAGCUCCCUAUCCACUGAACCAGCUACUGUGAAGAAAGGAUUAACUUUCCCUUUGUCUACAUUUGAAUUAAUCAGCAAAAGCCAAUACUUAACGUCUAAGUGGGGGAAGUCCAUAACCCACAUGCUAAAGUAGGCGACAACUCAGAAAGGACUGACUGCCCACCUGCCCCUGCAAUCCGUGGCAAAGUUAUAGACUGCAAUUGGUCCCCAUAAAGUAGGGGGAAGUCACAGGAAGUGACGAAAAGGGUCUUUAAAAGUGGCUACAACUUCCUGUGAGUGAAUUUUUCUAGCUAUUUUGAGGCUGUUGGAGACUGGUGGAAGAUCAUCUUCCUCAGUGUGGACCUGGGUGAGUGAAAAGCUGACUCUUUUUCCUGGCUUCUAGAGAGAUUAGUUUCCAGAGGAGAAACAUUUAGGGUGAUUAGCUAGACUUCUUACUCUACCCUCUUUCACAUUUCUCUACUUUACUCUAUCCUUCUAUUUUGUAAAUAAAGCUAAGUCAUUUUUGACUUGAGUUAUAAUUUCAGUGACCAUAUUCUCUCAUAUUUUAGUCAAGCCAUUAAUUUUAACCCUUACAUUACACUCUCCUAUUUCUUUUUUAAUUAAUACAGCAACACAUUAAAAUCAUGCAGGAGAUACUGCAGUGUUCUUAGCCAAGUAAAAAGUCUGGAUUCAUGGCUUCUAAGGUCUCAAGAAACUUUUCUAUCUGGGUAGGAGUGAUCCGAUCCAAUUGGUACAAAACACGUGGCUACAAGAAUAAAAAUCAGAAGGAGAACUUGAAAUAGGAGCAACACACUUAAAAAAACAACUGACUAAACUGUCAAGACAAGACAUUACCUCUGUUGUUCCAUUGUCAUUGAUGCCAUAUUUAUCUCUGGUUUUCUUGAUCUUCUCAGAAACAAUUUUAAUAAAUUUUUUUAUUUCCUAGAAAAUCAGAAUUAAAAUGGUAUGAAUAACAAAUAUCAAAUAGCAUGUUUUCCAAUAAUUUGGGAAACUAUUUCAAUUUCACUCUAAUAUAUACUAUGUAGUUAUGAAUUUAAUGAAAGAUGUGAUUUAAGGCCAAUGUUUUUACUACAAAGUGAUUUCCAAAGCCAUUUUUGAAGGGUGAAAAGUAACUAUGAUAGGCAAUCUCUAUGGAAGACUUUCUUUAUUGAUUUCUUUUUUUUUUGUAGUGCAUAGGUGAUCCUGGGUUCUCAAAGGCUUUGCCAGUGGAACAAUAGUCUUGGGGUGCCACAGAGGCAGAAAGGCUACACAAACAGUUUACAGAGAGGUGUGAGUUUUUGAGCUAUGUAUCACUGUACUUUGAACAUCCACUUGCCUGCUGGUCCCAUGUCAUUAUUUGAGUUGAUUGCAUAUAAGGUAGUGUGAAAUCUUACUUUGAUGUUAUCAAGGACUCUUUUGAACUCCAAGGGCUCAUCUUUCCCCUCCAUCGCUGCAGGAUCCAAACCAUCUCCACCAUAAAUAAAUUGAAUAAUAUCACCAGUAGAGCUUCGGACAGUUAGAUCAUAUUGUGAGCAGAGAUCUUCGAGGGAUUUCACAAGCCUUCUCUAAAGAAAGGGGGAAGAAGAACAAGAACACAGCUGUUAUGAAAGAAAUAUUUGUUUCUAAAGUGAAUUCAUUCAAAAUUUCACAAUAUCCCAAUCACAUAUCCACUCACAGAAUAAACAGGCUGUUCUUGGCAAAUGCAUUGAAGUGUCUCCAACCUCCCCAAAUUAGAGGCAACAAGAAGAGUUCUCACUAUGGACAUGUUGAGAUUUCAAAUAUGCCACAACCUAUAUUACUCUAGGUUUGCAAAGGUGUAUGGAGAUGACAAAUUUUGGAAUGCACUCCUUAAGCCCAGAGUUCUGUCUGAGCCAGCCUGAACUUUGCUUCAUUUUCUAGGUUUUAAAUUAAUGCAAUGGUUUUGCAUUAAUAAAAAAAUAAACAAUAAAAAAGUUGAGCCAGA